GAUGAACGCUAGCGGCAGGCCUAACACAUGCCAGUCGAGGGAGGAGCUUUCGGGCUUCGACCGGCGUACGGGUGCGUAACGCGUAUACAAUCUGCCUUUCACAUAGGGAUAGCCCGAAGAAAUUUGGAUUAAUACCUAAUGGUAUAUAGGAGUGGCAUCACAUUUAUAUUAAAGCUGAGGCGGUGAAAGAUGAGUAUGCGUUCUAUUAGCUAGUUGGGGAGGUAACGGCUCCCCAAGGCGACGAUAGAUAGGGGUUCUGAGAGGGAUAUCCCCCACACUGGUACUGAGAUACGGACCAGACUCCUACGGGAGGCAGCAGUGAGGAAUAUUGGACAAUGGUCGGAAGACUGAUCCAGCCAUGCCGCGUGCAGGAAGACGGCCUUAUGGGUUGUAAACUGCUUUUGCAGGGGAAGAAUAAGGACUACGAGUAGUUUGAUGACGGUACUCUGCGAAUAAGCAUCGGCUAACUCCGUG
rnacentral:rRNA from 1 species